UGCCAGCCGCCGCGGUAAUACGAGGGGUGCUAGCGUUGUCCGGAUUUACUGGGCGUAAAGGGUACGUAGGCGUUUUAAUAAGUUGUAUGUUAAAUAUCUUAGCUUAACUAAGAAAGUGCAUCCAAAACUGUUAAAAUAGAGUUUGAGAGAGGAACGCAGAAUUCAUGGUGUAGAGGUGAAAUUCGUAGAUAUUUGGAGGAACACCAGUGGCGAAGGCGGCUCACUGGCUCGAUACUGACGCUGAGGUACGAAAGUGUGGGGAGCAAACAGGAUUAGAUA
rnacentral:rRNA from 1 species